GACGAACGCUGGCGGCGUGCUUAACACAUGCAAGUCGAACGGAAAGGCCCUGCUUUUGUGGGGUGCUCGAGUGGCGAACGGGUGAGUAACACGUGAGUAACCUGCCCUUGACUUUGGGAUAACUUCAGGAAACUGGGGCUAAUACCGGAUAGGAGCCCCUGCUGCAUGGUGGGGGUUGGAAAGUUUCGGCGGUUGGGGAUGGACGCGCGGCUUAUCAGCUUGUUGGUGGGGUAGUGGCUUACCAAGGGUUUGGCGGGUAGCCGGCCUGAGAGGGUGACCGGCCACAUUGGGACUGAGAUACGGCCCAGACUCCUACGGGAGGCAGCAGUGGGGAAUAUUGCACAAUGGGCGGAAGCCUGAUGCAGCAACGCCGCGUGCGGGAUGACGGCCUUCGGGUUGUAAACCGCUUUCGCCUGUGACGAAGCGCGAGUGACGGUAAUGGGUAAAGAAGCACCGGCUAACUACGUG
rnacentral:rRNA from 1 species